rnacentral:rRNA from 1 species
UACGGGGGGGCAAGCGUUGUUCGGAAUUACUGGGCGUAAAGGGCGCGUAGGCGGUCCGUUAAGUUAGAUGUGAAAACUCUGGGCUCAACCCAGAGCCUGCAUCUAAUACUGACGGGCUAGAGUUCUGGAGGGGGUAGCGGAAUUCCUGGUGUAGCGGUGAAAUGCGUAGAUAUCAGGAGGAACACCGGUGGCGAAGGCGGCUACCUGGACAGAAACUGACACUGAGGCGCGAAAGCUAGGGGAGCAAACAGG